rnacentral:rRNA from 1 species
AUUGAACGCUGGCGGCAGGCCUAACACAUGCCAGUCGAACGGUAACAGGAAGCAGCUUGCUGCUUUGCUGACGAGUGGCGGACGGGUGAGUAAUGUCUGGGAAACUGCCUGAUGGAGGGGGAUAACUACUGGAAACGGUAGCUAAUACCGCAUAACGUCGCAAGACCAAAGAGGGGGACCUUAGGGCCUCUUGCCAUCGGAUGUGCCCAGAUGGGAUUAGCUAGUAGGUGGGGUAACGGCUCACCUAGGCGACGAUCCCUAGCUGGUCUGAGAGGAUGACCAGCCACACUGGAACUGAGACACGGUCCAGACUCCUACGGGAGGCAGCAGUGGGGAAUAUUGCACAAUGGGCGAAAGCCUGAUGCAGCCAUGCCGCGUGUAUGAAGAAGGCCUUCGGGUUGUAAAGUACUUUCAGCGGGGAGGAAGGGAGUAAAGUUAAUACCUUUGCUCAUUGACGUUACCCGCAGAAGAAGCACCGGCUAACUCCGUG